rnacentral:rRNA from 1 species
UAUCUCUGUAGAGUCUGCAUAUCAAUAAGCGGAGGAAAAGAAACUAACUAGGAUUCCCUUAGUAACGGCGAGUGAAGCGGGAAGAGCUCAAAUUUGAAAUCUUCAAGGUUCUACCUUGACGAAUUGUAGUUUAAAGAAGUGUUUUCUGUUGGAGUUUUGGUAAAAGUUCUUUGGAAUAGGACAUCAUAGAGGGUGAGAAUCCCGUAUUUGACCAUUUCUUCCAGCUGUGUGAUACACUUUCAAAGAGUCGGAUUGUUUGGGAAUGCAGUCCAAAAUGGGUGGUAAAUUUCAUCUAAAGCUAAAUAUUGGCGAGAGACCGAUAGCGAACAAGUACCGUGAGGGAAAGAUGAAAAGAACUUUGAAAAGAGAGUUAAACAGUACGUGAAAUUGUCAAAAGGGAAGCGUUUGACACCAGUGUUGUUUUCUCGAAAAUCAAUUAAAAAUGGCCGGAUUUUGUGUUGUAUUGACUUUAUCAGCUUUCUGCACUUUUUUCUUGUCUUUUUUAAUGCACUUUUCGCUUAACAAGUCAACAUCAAUUUCUUUUGUUGUAAAAGAGUCAUUGGAAGGUGGCUUUCUUUUCGGAGAAAGUGUUUAUAGCCUUUGAUCUCUGCAACCGGAGAGACUGAGGUCUGCAGCGUAGACUCUUCGGGGUUAGAUACAUUUGUGCUAAGCUAUAGCUUUUUAUAGACAACUUGUUGACUAUAUUUAGUCUUGUGGCUUACUCGCUUAUGCUAUUUUACCUACGCUUAGGAUGUUGAUGUGAUACUGCGAGC